UACGUAGGGUGCAAGCGUUGUCCGGAAUUACUGGGCGUAAAGGGCUCGUAGGUGGCCAACUAAGUCAGACGUGAAAUCCCUCGGCUUAACCGGGGAACUGCGUCUGAUACUGGAUGGCUUGAGUUCGGGAGAGGGAUGCGGAAUUCCAGGUGUAGCGGUGAAAUGCGUAGAUAUCUGGAGGAACACCGGUGGCGAAGGCGGCAUCCUGGACCGACACUGACGCUGAGGAGCGAAAGCCAGGGGAGCAAACGGG
rnacentral:rRNA from 1 species